rnacentral:snRNA from 1 species
GGAUGUGAGGGCGAUCUGGCUGCGACAUCUGUCACCCCAUUGGUUUCCAGGGUUGAUUCGGCUGAUGUGGCUGGCUAGGCGGGUGUCUCCUUCCUCCCUCAAUGCUGCAUGUGCGUCCCUCCAGAAGCUUCGCGCUCAGUCGAAGAGGACGACCACCCUCGAUAGAGGAGGACUGUUCCUCCAUCAAGGGGGUACGAGUAGCUGCACUUCCCUGCUAGAACCUCCAAACAAGCUCUCCAGACUGUGAGAUCCUGAGCCGGUAGAUUUGUAAACUAUAUUGUAAGAUGAAUUUAAAAUGGAACAGAAGUACUACACAAUUACUUCAGUUACUUGUGGUAAUUGCUCUU